UACAGAGGGGGCAAGCGUUAUUCGGAAUUACUGGGCGUAAAGGGCGCGUAGGCGGCCACCGCCAGUCGACUGUGAAAUCUCCGGGCUUAACCCGGAAAGGUCAGCCGAUACUGCGGGGCUAGAGUGCAGAAGGGGCAACUGGAAUUCUCGGUGUAGCGGUGAAAUGCGUAGAUAUCGAGAGGAACACCUGCGGCGAAGGCGGGUGGCUGGGCUGACACUGACGCUGAGGCGCGAAAGCUAGGGGAGCGAACGGG
rnacentral:rRNA from 1 species